rnacentral:rRNA from 1 species
UACGUAGGGGGCAAGCGUUAUCCGGAUUUACUGGGUGUAAGGGGAGCGUAGACGGAUGGACAAGUCUGAUGUGAAAGGCUGGGGCUCAACCCCGGGACUGCAUUGGAAACUGCCCGUCUUGAGUGCCGGAGAGGUAAGCGGAAUUCCUAGUGUAGCGGUGAAAUGCGUAGAUAUUAGGAGGAACACCAGUGGCGAAGGCGGCUUACUGGACGGUAACUGACGUUGAGGCUCGAAAGCGUGGGGAGCAAACAGG